rnacentral:ncRNA from 2 species
AUAUCAUUUUGAGGAAUUCUAACAGAAGUUUUUAUUGGUAGUGUAAGUUGGGCAAAGUGUCUUAUUUUUUUAAAGUAUUUCAAAGUAAAAUUACAUGUUAAUACGUAGUAUUAAUGGCGAGACUCCUGAGGGAGCAGUGCCAGUCGAAGACCGAGGCUGAGACGGCACCCUAGGAAAGCGAAGCCAUUCAAUACGAAGUAUUGUAUAAAUAGAGAACAGCAG